UACGUAGGGGGCAAGCGUUAUCCGGAAUUACUGGGUGUAAAGGGAGCGUAGGCGGGGAUGCAAGUUGGGUGUCAAAACUACCGGCUCAACUGGUAGUCGCACUCAAAACUGCAACUCUUGAGUGAAGUAGAGGCAGGCGGAAUUCCUAGUGUAGCGGUGAAAUGCGUAGAUAUUAGGAGGAACACCAGUGGCGAAGGCGGCUUACUGGACUGUAACUGACGUUGAGGCUCGAAAGCGUGGGGAGCAAACAGG
rnacentral:rRNA from 1 species